UACGUAGGGUGCGAGCGUUGUCCGGAAUUAUUGGGCGUAAAGAGCUCGUAGGCGGUGUGUCGCGUCGGCCGUGAAAACCUGCAGCUUAACUGUGGGCGUGCGGUCGAUACGGGCAUCACUGGAGUUCGGCAGGGGAGACUGGAAUUCCUGGUGUAGCGGUGAAAUGCGCAGAUAUCAGGAGGAACACCGGUGGCGAAGGCGGGGUCUCUGGGCCGAUACUGACGCUGAGGAGCGAAAGCGUGGGGAGCGAACAGG
rnacentral:rRNA from 1 species